rnacentral:rRNA from 1 species
GAUGAACGCUGGCGGCGUGCCUAAUACAUGCAAGUCGAGCGAACAGACGAGGAGCUUGCUCCUCUGACGUUAGCGGCGGACGGGUGAGUAACACGUGGAUAACCUACCUAUAAGACUGGGAUAACCUCGGGAAACCGGAGCUAAUACCGGAUAAUAUAUUGAACCGCAUGGUUCAAUAGUGAAAGACGGUUUUGCUGUCACUUAUAGAUGGAUCCGCGCCGCAUUAGCUAGUUGGUAAGGUAACGGCUUACCAAGGCAACGAUGCGUAGCCGACCUGAGAGGGUGAUCGGCCACACUGGACCUGAGACACGGUCCAGACUCCUACGGGAGGCAGCAGUAGGGAAUCUUCCGCAAUGGGCGAAAGCUUGACGGAGCAACGCCGCGUGAGUGAUGAAGGUCUUCGGAUCGUAAAACUCUGUUAUUAGGGAAGAACAAAUGUGUAAGUAACUAUGCACGUCUUGACGGUACCUAAUCAGAAAGCCACGGCUAACUACGUG